rnacentral:tRNA from 1 species
GAAAUAAGUAAAUCAAAAAUAAGCUUCUAACUUAACUUUUAAGCGUUGAAAUACGUUUUUAUUUCU